GCGGUCUGGGAGCGGCUGUGGCACUUUCCACGUGCAGGCAGACACGGAGCUUUCCUCGCUGCACGGGCGGGCCUUCCAGAGAGGAGGGGACUUAUUUCUUGUGCAACGCUCCUUCGGGAAGGACGAGGAUCCCGGAGCCUUCCGUUCUGCCCACGCGUGUCAGGGGGGGCACCCGAUGUCCUCUUCUUGGGGUGCUCCGGCCCCACCGUGCUACCAGACUCGCGGCAGCCCUCGCCUCCUUCUCCAGGGGAAAGCAUCCCACGCUUCCAGACAUCGGGAGGUCUCCCAGGCAUCGGAGGCAUUUCCUGAAACUUCUCCUGCGGGAUAAGAAUCACACUUCCUCACAGCUGCAAAGGGGCUGCUUCUCACUCUACACUCCAGCAACUGGGAAUGUCAGAAACAUUCAGGGCUGAAGGAGACAUUCACCAGAGCAUGUGGCCUGCAGUUCAGUCUGCCCAGAGGGAAGUCAACCCAUCUGCCAGGACGCAGAAGGGAGCCUACCUAGGCUGGAACCCUCUCCUUCCCAAGGUGGUUUUUCUCUCUUCCCCAGCUGGUGCCUCUGUGAAACAGCUGCACUCGCCCUUUGUGGGAUGGGCACUGCUCACCUCCAUUCAGGGGCAGCUACUGAAUCAGGAAAACUUCCUACCCAAGAACCAGGCAGACUUCAGAAUUUGCCUUGGACAACUUCCUGACUCUUCCCCCCCCCUCCCUCCCAGAAUUCAUUGCUAAAUGGGGCUGCCAAAAAGCAAAUAUUUCCAUCAUUUGUCAGAGGCGUGAAGGUUGAGGGCUGGGCAUCAAUUGGCAGGGCCUAUCAAUUUCUGCAAAACUUCAGUUUUAGACUAAUCACUUUGUACGCUCCUUGCACCCCUAAGGCCACACUGGCAAUCUGGGACUCUGCAAGAGUUAAGUCCACAAUUAACACCAAUUUCAUUAACAUUCCCACACAGCUUAAAUAGGCUGAAAAGGAAACCUCUCAAGAGAUUCCUGGAAAAAGCAGCUUGAGAACAACUUCACAGCAGAAGGAACUGGCCCCUUGACCCAUGGUGGUAUAGGGCAGAGAAGCGACCCUGCCCAGGUUUCCUUCCUGUUGGACAUUGCUCUGGACAGUGAUGCACAGCAAUGCCCACAGCUUUCCGGUGGCUGCCAGAAGAGAGGUGAGGAGCAGGUUUUGCGCCAUCAAGGCAGCAAAAAGGAAUGGCCUGUUUGCUUGCCGGCUCCCAGUUCUCGUUCUGCCAGCAGCAAGAGAAAGUGGGAACUUGAGGGAGGAACUGCAGAGACAGUUUCUCGUGGGGAUACUACCCUUCCCAAAGGAGAAUGGCCUCCUGUGGCUGUGCCAGCUGCUACGGCACCAACAACAACUGCAUUUCCUCCACCAGGAGCCAGAGUGGCUGGCUUUUUCUGCAGAGGGAUGCCUGGCCCUCCCUUUAAUGAUCGGCCUUCCACAGGAGGAGUGCCGUCAGUGGAGUGGCCUUUGCUGCAGUGGGGCUAGGUGCUUAUCAGGCAAACAGAAGCCCAGAAGCCACUCCAGGUGGAUUCUAUGACCACAGGAGAAAGGGCCCAGCCUUAGAAACGUUAAGCACAGAUUCCUAAGAAAAAGAUUCUUUAAUUUUUCACUUUAUGGAAAUAACAUUUUUCAUUCCACGAUACAAAAAUGUUAAAUAUCAAACCAAGUUUAUGAAAUCUACCAAAGCGGAUUGAUUUUUCAGACUAACAAAAGCUGGUGACGCUGCUGAUUUAUCUUUGACUUUUUAAGUAUAGCAUGCAAGUCAUGAAUCAAGGGAAAAGGUGCCCGAGAAGCUUCCCUCCCUUCCAGGUAUAGGAGGCCAGUUCUCAAACUCAGUGUGGAGACUGAGACCUGCUUUCUUUCCCAAAGCGAAAGGACAGUUUCCCUUUAAUUUGGGGGUGGGUGGCAGGGGAAUAGGAUGCACUUUUACUACUGCAGAAAAUGGCAGGGAAGAAGUGGUUGAAAGCACCAGGCGCCCCACUGGUCGUUGAUGUGCCUGAAUGUCUGAAGAGGAGAGGAUUUGCGAAUCGAGGGGGACCAGCAUAGCAAGCUGCACACAGACUCUGUGAAGUUUCUCAGCCACGUGACAUGAAUGGAUGGAUGGUCCAGCCCCGGAGGUUUGGCAUUUUGAUCUAACACAAGUGACGGCAAAAGGCUUUCACAUAAUCAAGGAAAUGGACACGUACAUACAUGCACACACAUAAAAACAGUGACCGUGAUUGUUCAGUAGACAUUAAAAAAUAAAA